UGGGGAAUAUUGGACAAUGGGCGCAAGCCUGAUCCAGCCAUACCGCGUGGGUGAAGAAGGCCUUCGGGUUGUAAAGCCCUUUUGUUGGGAAAGAAAUCCAGCUGGUUAAUACCCGGUUGGGAUGACGGUACCCAAAGAAUAAGCACCGGCUAACUUCGUGCCAGCAGCCGCGGUAAUACGAAGGGUGCAAGCGUUACUCGGAAUUACUGGGCGUAAAGCGUGCGUAGGUGGUCGUUUAAGUCUGUUGUGAAAGCCCUGGGCUCAACCUGGGAACUGCAGUGGAAACUGGACGACUAGAGUGUGGUAGAGGGUAGCGGAAUUCCUGGUGUAGCAGUGAAAUGCGUAGAGAUCAGGAGGAACAUCCAUGGCGAAGGCAGCUACCUGGACCAACACUGACACUGAGGCACGAAAGCGUGGGGAGCAAACAGGAUUAGAUACCCUGGUAGUCCACGCCCUAAACGAUGCGAACUGGAUGUUGGAUGCAAUUUGGCACGCAGUAUCGAAGCUAACGCGUUAAGUUCGCCGCCUGGGGAGUACGGUCGCAAGACUGAAACUCAAAGGAAUUGACGGGGUCAUAGC
rnacentral:rRNA from 1 species